GACGAACGCUGGCGGCGUGCCUAAUACAUGCAAGUCGAACGCACUCUCGUUUAGAUUGAAGGAGCUUGCUCCUGAUUGAUAAACAUUUGAGUGAGUGGCGGACGGGUGAGUAACACGUGGGUAACCUGCCCUAAAGUGGGGGAUAACAUUUGGAAACAGAUGCUAAUACCGCAUAAAACCUAACACCGCAUGGUGUAGGGUUGAAAGAUGGUUUCGGCUAUCACUUUAGGAUGGACCCGCGGUGCAUUAGUUAGUUGGUGAGGUAAAGGCUCACCAAGACCGUGAUGCAUAGCCGACCUGAGAGGGUAAUCGGCCACACUGGGACUGAGACACGGCCCAGACUCCUACGGGAGGCAGCAGUAGGGAAUCUUCCACAAUGGACGAAAGUCUGAUGGAGCAACGCCGCGUGAGUGAAGAAGUUUUCGGAUCGUAAAACUCUGUUGUUGAGAAGAAUGUAUCUGAUAGUAACUGAUCAGGUAGUGACGGUAU
rnacentral:rRNA from 1 species